GUGCUCUCUGGAAGCACAUGCACCAAAUCUGGAAUGAUGCAGAGAAUAGCAUGGUUCCCAUACAAGGAUGGCAUGCAAAUUGGAGAAGCAGCCCAUAUUUUA